AGAGUUUGAUCAUGGCUCAGAUUGAACGCUGGCGGCAGGCCUAACACAUGCAAGUCGAGCGGUAGCACAGAGAGCUUGCUCUCGGGUGACGAGCGGCGGACGGGUGAGUAAUGUCUGGGAAACUGCCUGAUGGAGGGGGAUAACUACUGGAAACGGUAGCUAAUACCGCAUAACGUCGCAAGACCAAAGUGGGGGACCUUCGGGCCUCAUGCCAUCAGAUGUGCCCAGAUGGGAUUAGCUAGUAGGUGGGGUAACGGCUCACCUAGGCGACGAUCCCUAGCUGGUCUGAGAGGAUGACCAGCCACACUGGAACUGAGACACGGUCCAGACUCCUACGGGAGGCAGCAGUGGGGAAUAUUGCACAAUGGGCGCAAGCCUGAUGCAGCCAUGCCGCGUGUGUGAAGAAGGCCUUCGGGUUGUAAAGCACUUUCAGCGGGGAGGAAGGCGGUGAGGUUAAUAACCUCAUCGAUUGACGUUACCCGCAGAAGAAGCACCGGCUAACUCCGUGCCAGCAGCCGCGGUAAUACGGAGGGUGCAAGCGUUAAUCGGAAUUACUGGGCGUAAAGCGCACGCAGGCGGUCUGUCAAGUCGGAUGUGAAAUCCCCGGGCUCAACCUGGGAACUGCAUUCGAAACUGGCAGGCUAGAGUCUUGUAGAGGGGGGUAGAAUUCCAGGUGUAGCGGUGAAAUGCGUAGAGAUCUGGAGGAAUACCGGUGGCGAAGGCGGCCCCCUGGACAAAGACUGACGCUCAGGUGCGAAAGCGUGGGGAGCAAACAGGAUUAGAUACCCUGGUAGUCCACGCCGUAAACGAUGUCGAUUUGGAGGUUGUGCCCUUGAGGCGUGGCUUCCGGAGCUAACGCGUUAAAUCGACCGCCUGGGGAGUACGGCCGCAAGGUUAAAACUCAAAUGAAUUGACGGGGGCCCGCACAAGCGGUGGAGCAUGUGGUUUAAUUCGAUGCAACGCGAAGAACCUUACCUGGUCUUGACAUCCACAGAACUUUCCAGAGAUGGAUUGGUGCCUUCGGGAACUGUGAGACAGGUGCUGCAUGGCUGUCGUCAGCUCGUGUUGUGAAAUGUUGGGUUAAGUCCCGCAACGAGCGCAACCCUUAUCCUUUGUUGCCAGCGGUCCGGCCGGGAACUCAAAGGAGACUGCCAGUGAUAAACUGGAGGAAGGUGGGGAUGACGUCAAGUCAUCAUGGCCCUUACGACCAGGGCUACACACGUGCUACAAUGGCAUAUACAAAGAGAAGCGACCUCGCGAGAGCAAGCGGACCUCAUAAAGUAUGUCGUAGUCCGGAUUGGAGUCUGCAACUCGACUCCAUGAAGUCGGAAUCGCUAGUAAUCGUAGAUCAGAAUGCUACGGUGAAUACGUUCCCGGGCCUUGUACACACCGCCCGUCACACCAUGGGAGUGGGUUGCAAAGAAGUAGGUAGCUUAACCUUCGGGAGGGCGCUUACCACUUUGUGAUUCAUGACUGGGGUGAAGUCGUAACAAGGUAACCGUAGGGGAACCUGCGGUUGGAUCACCU
rnacentral:rRNA from 1 species